ACCUUUUCUAAAACCCGAUAAAAACCUAUCUACUCUUCUUCCUCUCUCUUCACCCUUUCUCUGUACUUCCCUUCAUAAAAAUUUUGUCCUAUCUGCAAAAGCACUCAAAGCAAGACUUCACAUUUUUGGACCAACAAAGUUCCAAACCAAGUCCAAAGGUUCACCGAUCAGGUACUAAGUUUUUGCCCUUCUGAUUGAUUUGUCAUAGUUCCAAAAAUCCCCCUACUGAUUCUCUAAGCAGAAACCAAUGGCUGUCUACGUGGUUUCAGGGUCAUCAAAGUUGUUGGUCAACAUAUUGUACUCAUGGGUCUAUCCAUUGGGAACUAGAUUGCUUGAAGGGAUGAAACGGUUUUUUAGGCAGCACCUUCUGCUUUUACUUUAACCAGAUGGCUUCUGCAUUAUUUCGCUUUAUUGGGGCAAUUAGUGGGGGGACCUGAUUCUUGCCAACACAUUUGGAUCAUUUGCACUGGUCAUACGGUUUGCUUUGGGUGGCUUUGUCCUGUCAAGAGAGAACAUAAAGAAAUGGUGGAUAUGGGGUUACUGGAUGUAAAUUACACGUCUAGCCUACUGUAUUUGCUACAGAAUGCGAUUUUGGGUGUUGGUCCGUUUCUUCAUGACAAUGCAUGGGGUUGUCUUGAUCUAACUCAUUGCAAAGGUCAAAACCUUAAGUUCAUGAAUUGCACUUCGUAAGUCGCAAAAAACAAAAUAUAUUUUUAACAUUAUCAUAGAACUCACUCAUUCAUGGCUAAUUAUAAUUUAAAAUGCAAUUUCUUUCAUACUGAUGAUCCAUUAUCAACACAUGACCACAUACACAUGGCUGUGGAACUUGACUAAUUGAUAUUGAUUGUGUCUUUCUAAUUAAUUUUUUGAAAUACAUGUCGGUAAAAAAGUGUAUGAAAAUGUAUGUAAUGUUAUUUAAAAACUGAGAAUGAGUUGUUUAACAAUUCUACCAAACGGGGCCUAAGGUUUUUGAGUUUUCAAUUAAUUUCAUGACUAUAAAUUCCAUUAAGCAAAAACAUAUGAAGCAAAGAAAC